GCCACGUCGUCAUCUUGACCAGCAACAAAACACAUGAAAGGUUUUGAAGGAUUCACUUAGAUUUCAGUGUUGGCAUGCGGGUUGGAAAGACUGAAGUGGAGCAAAUAGUACAUUCAAUUUUUGAUGACACCAAGAAACAGUGGCAGAGCCAAGGGGCUGUGAGCAUGUUAAUGAGCCGUAAAGUGACAUUACCACUGUCAGCCUUGUUUUCAUCACCUGCUUCUUCUUUUCCUGGAAAGGAGAGAAAAUGUUCACCAUUUGAACUUGAGAACACCACGCACAUAGAAUGAAAAAACACACUAAAGAUGAAAACAUUUUGUAUUGAUAAAUGAUUCAGAUUGAAUAUUGAACCUUGAAAUAAAUCAUGAACCUCCA